GAAACUCCUAAAAAGUCUAGAAGCACAAAAUAGGAAACCAAAGCCAUCCCUUUAGCAUCGCCUUCAUCAAUAUCUCUGAGGAGACCCUGAUGAUUGGCAAAGCCACAAGGAUGGCGAGGAUGAUGAUAGAUCAAGCUCAAUCAGGGGCUAACACCAUUAAUUUAUCUUGAAGAAAGAUUGAGAAUAUGUCACUAUAGGCUUUUUAAAUUCUCAUAAGCACCAUGAAUCUAUCUCGGUGAAGACUCCUUCAACAUUGCUUCUUUAAACCAAUCGUAUUUUCAACCAUAGGUUAGAAUAAGCAUCUCAUUGUCUAUCAUCCAAAAAAGAAAAUCAUGAAUCUAGUUAUCUUUGUCGCUUAACAGAUUGAGCUCCAAGGAGCUAAUACAUUGUUUAAGGACAAAAAUCAACUGGAUCCAUGAUAAUCUUUGGUCAUCUGUGCUGGUGUGAAGCCUUGUUCUUUAAACUAAUUGUUAAAUCUUCUUGUUCCAUAAUGUUAUCUCAACAUGUUAAUGUGUUCACCCAUUGUUUAUUUUAAAUAAGUAUACCUUGUAUUGAUACUUUCAUAUGCGCAAAUAAGGAAUAUACAUCUUUUUCAUGUUUAUUAACAUUUUCCGUACAUGUAGUACCUGAUGAAAAUUAUUUAAGAAUAUAGAACUUAUACCUGCAAAAGAAAAAAUAAUGUUAGCAAAAAAGCUGCAACUUUGUUUCCCUCUCUUAAUGUAUGCACCACCUGCACCAACUCCGAGACAAAAUUUAUCAAAGCUUUAUUUUCUUCACUUGCAUGGAUACACUCCAUGGCAUUUCCCAUUUGUUAUAUAAAUUUUUUUUCAAUAGUGAGUGAGUUUCUAGAACAAUUGGAAGAAUAUUAUAAGUAACACAAUGCUCCAAUCCACUCCUUAAAGUGAUAAUUUCAGUUUCUAAGGCUGUACCUUUCCCUCUUAUUUUUGACUUUGCAUACACAAAAUCUCCUAUCUCAUUCCUAAUACAAAAGGUAGUUAUAAUUGGUCUCAAAUUUCCUUUGUAGGAUCCAUCUAAAUUACACUUGAAACCUCCUUUGUUUGGCAUCUGCCAUAUAAUGACUUUUGUUACUAAUAAAGUGAAUAUUCCUAAAAAUAACUGCACACCAAAAGGCCAGGUUGUAGGAAUAUUUCUUAUCCAAGGAUAGAUUGUGAUAGUAAACAAAUGAAUAUUUUUAUUAAUUUCAGAUACCAUGUAAUGACAUGACAUCUUACCAUCAUGACAGAUCGUAUUUAUCCUCCCCCACAAAUGUCAAAUCACAAUAGCAGGAAUAACCUUGUAAAUAGGUUUAAAUUUAGAACUACAACCUGCUUACCACCAUUUAAAAAUGGUGAUCUUAAGUUGUAUAGAAGGCCCCUCAAAGCCUGUUGCACUUUCAUGCUACAUCCAUAUAUUUCUACUAUUAGAAUACUUUCAAAACAAAUGUUCAAAAGUCUCAAUCUCUGUAUCAUUAUAGCAACACAAAUAUUGUGUCUACCCCUUGCAUUAUUAUCAAUACCUCCCCAAUAGGGAUUCUUUUUUUUUGUACACUCUCUAUAAUAAUAAAGAAAUUUUGAAAGAUGAUCCUUUCACCUAAAUAUUCUUGAAAUAUCAUGUUUCUCCCUUUCUACCCUUACCUCAUUCCAUGCACUGAAAACUAUAUUUUUUCCAGAACAAGUCAACUUCCACCAAACUUUAUCCCAUUCUAUAGAUUCUACCCAUACUUUAAUUUUAUCAAAAAUAUAGGUUUUGACCUCUUCAGACAAUAACUAGCUUAACAGAAGUUCUUUCUAGCUGUUUCCCAACAUCAAAUCUUUAACAUCUACAAUUCCUUUAUGCAUUACAUUAGUGAUAGGAAAAAAAUAAUGCAAAGCCCCUAAUGGUGUCCAAUUAUCAUACCAUGCACUAGAACUCCCAUAUCUAGGAUCCCACCAAAUUCAUAAUCAAAGAAAUCUCUUUCUUAAAGCAUGUACUUCCAAAUUUAUGGAUCCCCUCUCCAUUCAAUUACUUGAGGUCUAUGCCUUUUAUAAUACUUAGUCUACAUAAAGUUAUCCCAUACAAACUUCUUAGUUUUGAAAUUCGACCACAUCUUAGCAUACUAAGAUUUGGACAUAUCAAAAAGAUAGCUAAAUCCUAGGCAACCUUCUUUAUUAGGACAACACACCUCUGUCCAAGCCACUGAGUGGUUGUUCCUUUCUUUAUACUUAAAACUCUAUAAGAACCUUGCAAAUAUUCUAUGUAGGUCAUGAAUGACAAUUUUUUAGGAACAAUAGUAGACAACAGGUAAAUUGGAAUAAUUUGCAUAACAUCGUUAAUCAAAACAUGUUUUCCAUCAAAAUAUAGCAAUUUACCUUUCUAUACCUGUAAUUUAUUCUUGAGUUUCUUCAUUAUUUCAGUAAAGUAGAUGUUUCUCUUCCUGGAAUGUCCAAUUGGACAUAACCUAGGAAUAAGUUAUUUAAAGUUUUAACUUUAUAGUUUGUAUUCUAACAUACUAAAUUGGUUGUCUCUUUGUGACAACAAAAAGGACUAUUGAAAAUCAAGUUAAUGAUGCAAUGAAAAAUGUCGUUGUAACAAAUAUUACUACUUCAAGUUGUUCAAAUGUUGCUCCAGUCAUGGCACCGAUGAAAUAUUUUUUGGUGUGGAUUUUAAAAGGGUGGAAAAAAAUAUGUUUUUUUAUUUGACUACAUUAAGUCUCCAAAGAUUCAUCAUAGAAAGCGUUCUAUAGUUAUCGAAAGAAACACCAUAAAAGGAACACUUUAUAGUAAUGAAAGCUUGAAAGCACUCGAAUUUCUUGUGUAAGAACUACAUUUUAAGUGACCUACUAGAUGAUCUUUACAAUGUCUAAAGAAAUAUGAAGAGACCUCUAAAGAACUAUGGGAUGCUUUGAAAAAAAAAUACAAAGUAAAGGAUGCAAAAAUGAAGAAAUUUAUUGUUGUAAGAUUACUGGACCCUAAGAUAGUAGACAAUAAAGCUUCAUUACACAAGUUCUAGAACUACAAGUCAUCAUCCAUGCUCUCAUAGUGGAAGGUAUAUACUUAGCAAAACCUUUUUUGAACAUACUAAUUUUGUUCUUGAUAAUGACAUAACAUUUGUUAUAGAUUUGAUUGUGAACGAAGCUUUUCAAGAAGUUUCUAUAAUUGAGAAGUUACCACCUUUGUAGAAAAAUUUCAAAAAAUACUUGAAGGUCAAGCGCAAGGAGAUAUUUGUUGAAGAAUCCAUUGCGAGGUUAUGGAUUGAAGAGGAACACAAAACAUUCAAAAUAAGUUCUAGAGGGAACAUGCAAGAUUUGCUUGAAGAAGGCAUUGAGCAAGCUGGUUAUACUCCACAAUGUUCUUCAUGUUUCAGAGUUGCAAAAAAACUUAGUUCUUACUUCAAUUCUAACUAAUAAUAGAUCCAAAUAUGUAUUUGUUUCUAACAGAGUAUAACUAGUAAG
rnacentral:lncRNA from 1 species